AUUAGAUACCCGGGUAGUCCACGCCCUAAACUAUGUCAACUAGUUGUCGGGAAAGCAAUUUCUUGGUAACGAAGCUAACGCGUG
rnacentral:rRNA from 1 species